GUCGCAAGACCAAAGUGGGGGACCUUCGGGCCUCAUGCCAUCAGAUGUGCCCAGAUGGGAUUAGCUAGUAGGUGGGGUAACGGCUCACCUAGGCGACGAUCCCUAGCUGGUCUGAGAGGAUGACCAGCCACACUGGAACUGAGACACGGUCCAGACUCCUACGGGAGGCAGCAGUGGGGAAUAUUGCACAAUGGGCGCAAGCCUGAUGCAGCCAUGCCGCGUGUGUGAAGAAGGCCUUCGGGUUGUAAAGCACUUUCAGCGGGGAGGAAGGCGAUAAGGUUAAUAACCUUGUCGAUUGACGUUACCCGCAGAAGAAGCACCGGCUAACUCCGUGCCAGCAGCCGCGGUAAUACGGAGGGUGCAAGCGUUAAUCGGAAUUACUGGGCGUAAAGCGCACGCAGGCGGUCUGUCAAGUCGGAUGUGAAAUCCCCGGGCUCAACCUGGGAACUGCAUUCGAAACUGGCAGGCUAGAGUCUUGUAGAGGGGGGUAGAAUUCCAGGUGUAGCGGUGAAAUGCGUAGAGAUCUGGAGGAAUACCGGUGGCGAAGGCGGCCCCCUGGACAAAGACUGACGCUCAGGUGCGAAAGCGUGGGGAGCAAACAGGAUUAGAUACCCUGGUAGUCCACGCCGUAAACGAUGUCGAUUUGGAGGUUGUGCCCUUGAGGCGUGGCUUCCGGAGCUAACGCGUUAAAUCGACCGCCUGGGGAGUACGGCCGCAAGGUUAAAACUCAAAUGAAUUGACGGGGGCCCGCACAAGCGGUGGAGCAUGUGGUUUAAUUCGAUGCAACGCGAAGAACCUUACCUGGUCUUGACAUCCACAGAACUUUCCAGAGAUGGAUUGGUGCCUUCGGGAACUGUGAGACAGGUGCUGCAUGGCUGUCGUCAGCUCGUGUUGUGAAAUGUUGGGUUAAGUCCCGCAACGAGCGCAACCCUUAUCCUUUGUUGCCAGCGGU
rnacentral:rRNA from 1 species